rnacentral:rRNA from 1 species
GAGGAAAAGAAACUAACAAGGAUUCCCCUAGUAACGGCGAGUGAAGCGGGAAGAGCUCAAAUUUGAAAUCUGGUGGCCUCAGGUCAUCCGAGUUGUAAUCUAUAGAAGUGUUUUCCGUGCUGGCUCAUGUACAAGUCCCUUGGAACAGGGCGUCAUAGAGGGUGAGAAUCCCGUCCUUGACAUGAACUACCAGUGCUCUGUGAUACAUUUUCAACGAGUCGAGUUGUUUGGGAAUGCAGCUCAAAAUGGGUGGUAAAUUCCAUCUAAAGCUAAAUAUUGGCGAGAGACCGAUAGCGAACAAGUACCGUGAGGGAAAGAUGAAAAGCACUUUGGAAAGAGAGUUAAACAGUAUGUGAAAUUGUUGAAAGGGAAACGAUUGAAGUCAGUCGUGCUCUUUGGAUUCAGCCGGUUCUGCCGGUGUACUUCCUUUGAGUGGGGUCAACAUCAGUUUUGAUCGCUGGAUAAAGGCUGGAGGAACGUAGUACCCUCGGGUAAACUUAUAGCCUCCUGUCACAUACAGUGGUNGGGACUGAGGAACGCAGCACGCCUUUAUGGCCGGGAUUCGUCCACGUACGUGCUUAGGAUGUUGACAUAAUGGGCUUUAAACGACCCG